CAGGACUACUCUGGUCAUACGGUUGAUGGAAGGUCUGAAAGGAGGUGAGGAACUGACAGUAGACCAGCUCAGUGUACAACUGAAGACUCUGGCUAAGAAGACCAGCAACACAAAAUACAGAGAUGUUAUGAAGAUUAUACGACUGGCCCUCAGCGGACUACAGCAAGGCCCCAGUGUAGCAGAGAUGAUGGUAUCGUUGGGACCCAGUGAGAUCACACAUCGCUUCAACAGAGUUCUGCAGCACUGAACAUUGUAGUUGCAUACCACAUGGCACCCUAUUCCCUAUAUAGUGCACUACUUUUGUCCAGGGCCCUAUAGUGCAAAAGCAGUGCAUUAUUAUACAGAUGAGUCACAAAGGGCACCCUAUUCCCUCUCGCAGGAACACCUGAAGACUAGGUUGUAAUAAUGUGUUACCAAUUCGAAGAGAAAACAGACUGAAACCGGGAGGGACUACUUGAACUUGUCCAAUAAGAAACGUCCAUUUUCAUAUUCCGCCGCAAAAACGUUUUGCUACGUUGUGCCAUAAUGAAUAUGACCCUGGUUCAUUAUUCUAACUGGUUACCUGAUUGUAACACAGCAACACUGAGGACUGGUUUUCUGAUCCUAACAAUAUUCCUGGACUGUAUAUGAUCUCAAUCACACUUGACUUGUAAUGGACAGUCAGUCGAUCUGGAAAUUUUUGCAAUAAAACAAGU